rnacentral:rRNA from 1 species
AGCAGCCGCGGUAAUUCCAGCUCCAAUAGCGUAUAUUAAAGUUGUUGCAGUUAAAAAGCUCGUAGUUGAAUUUCGGGGUUAGUAGGUUGGUCAUGCCUCUGGUAUGUACUGGUCUCACUGAUUCCUCCUUCCUGAUGAGCCGUAAUGCCAUUAAUUUGGUGUUGCGGGGAAUUUGGACUGUUACUUUGAAAAAAUUAGAGUGUUUAAAGCAAGCUAACGCUUGAAUACAUUAGCAUGGAAUAAUGAAAUAGGACGUUCGAUCUUAUUUUGUUGGUUUCUAAGAUUGACGUAAUGAUUAAUAGGGAUAGUUGGGGGCAUUAGUAUUCAAUUGUCAGAGGUGAAAUUCUUGGAUUUAUUGAAGACUAACUACUGCGAAAGCAUUUGCCAAGGAUGUUUUCAUUAAUCAAGAACGAAAGUUAGGGGAUCGAAGACGAUCAGAUACCGUCGUAGUCUUAACCAUAAACUAUGCCGACUAGGGAUCGGAUGAUGUUAAUUUUUAAUGACUCAUUCGGCGCCUUAC